GUAUAUGUGCGGCAUUAUGAGUCAAGAAGUUUUGAAUAAAGACGUUAUCGUUGAAUCUGCUUCUCUGCUGAUUUUUAUCUUAGUGCCUCAAACAGUAACGACUGAAGUUUGUCUAUAAUAGUAGUGCCUACGGGCAAGUUAAACAAUGCAAAGGAAAUAUUUAAGAUGUCUAAGAUAAAAGGUUCAGUUAAGUGGUUCAAUGAGGCUAAAGGUUUUGGUUUUAUUACUCCGGAUGACAAGAGUAAAGAUGUGUUUGUACACUUUUCAGCUAUUCAAGGGGAUGGGUUUAAAACCUUAGGUGAAGGCCAACAGGUAGAAUUUGACAUUGAAGAGGGAAAAAAAGGGCCAGCAGCAAUUAAUGUUGUGACCCUUUAGCUGAUCAACACUUAAAAGCAAAAAACCCGUCGCAAGACGGGUUUUUUGCU
rfam:Candidatus Regiella insecticola LSR1 genomic scaffold Scaffold3, whole genome shotgun sequence.